GUUCUGAGGGUACUUGAGGAUAAGCAUCGGCUAACUCCGUGCCAGCAGCCGCGGUAAUACGGAGGAUGCAAGCGUUAUCCGGAAUGAUUGGGCGUAAAGGGUCCGCAGGUGGCACUGUAAGUCUGCUGUCAAAGAGCAAGGCUCAACCUUGUAAAGGCAGUGGAAACUACGUAGCUAGAGUACGUUCCGGGUAGCAGGAACAAUGCUACGGACAAAGGGCAGCUACACAGCGAUGUGAUGCAAAUCCAGGAAACCGUAGCUCAGUUCAGAUCGAAGGCUGCAACUCGCCUUCGUGAAGGAGGAAUCGCUAGUAAUUGCAGGUCAGCAUACUGCAGUGAAUUCGUUCCCGGGCCUUGUACACACCGCCCGUCACACCAUGGAAGCUGGUCACGCCCGAAGU
rnacentral:rRNA from 1 species